rnacentral:tRNA from 1 species
AAGAAAGAAGCAUGAGUGGUUUAAUGCGAUUGGCUUGAAACCAGUUUAUGAGGGUUCAACUCCUUCCUUUCUUG